UACGUAGGGACCGAGCGUUGUCCGGAAUCAUUGGGCGUAAAGAGCGUGUAGGCGGCCACUUAAGUCCUGCGUGAAAUCUUGCGGCUCAACCGCAAGCGGUCGUGGGAAACUGGGUGGCUAGAGUGCGGGAGAGGAGAGUGGAAUUCCUGGCGUAGCGGUGGAAUGCGCAGAUAUCAGGAAGAACACCCGUGGCGAAGGCGGCUCUCUGGACCGGUUCUGACGCUGAGGCGCGAAAGCGUGGGUAGCAAACAGG
rnacentral:rRNA from 1 species